rnacentral:rRNA from 1 species
UACAGAGGGUGCAAGCGUUAAUCGGAAUUACUGGGCGUAAAGCGUGCGUAGUCGGUUAUCUAAGUCGGGUGUGAAAUCCCCCGGGCUCAACCUGGGAAUUGCAUUCGAUACUGGAUAGCUAGAGUCCGGAAGAGGAGAGUGGAAUUCCUGGUGUAGCGGUGAAAUGCGCAGAUAUCAGGAAGAACACCCGUGGCUAAGGCGGCUCUCUAGUACGGUACUGACGCUGAGACGCGAAAGCGUGGGGAGCGAACAGG